UUAAUGACUCACAUAUGGUAUACAAUCAAGGAGAGUAGAAAAAUAUUUUGCUUCUUUAAUAACAAUUGUGAUAGAAAUUCUAAACCUUAUAUAUGAGAAGAUAAAUUAGCUCAUUUUGAAUGUUAUGACAAAGAUAGUGAUGAUAUACCUCAUGAGUUUGGAUGCAUCUUGUAUGAUCCUGCAUAAUCACAUCAAAUUCAUCAAUCAUCCCAACCAUUCCUAAAAAAAAUAGCAUU
rnacentral:lncRNA from 1 species